rnacentral:rRNA from 1 species
UGGGGAAUAUUGCGCAAUGGGCGAAAGCCUGACGCAGCGACGCCGCGUGAGGGACGAAGGCCUUCGGGUUGUAAACCUCUUUCAGCAGGGACGAAGCGAGAGUGACGGUACCUGCAGAAGAAGCACCGGCCAACUACGUGCCAGCAGCCGCGGUAAUACGUAGGGUGCAAGCGUUGUCCGGAAUUAUUGGGCGUAAAGAGCUCGUAGGCGGUCUGUUGCGUCGGGCUGUGAAAACCCGGGGCUCAACUCCGGGCCUGCAGCCGAUACGGGCAGACUAGAGUUCGGCAGGGGAGACUGGAAUUCCUGGUGUAGCGGUGAAAUGCGCAGAUAUCAGGAGGAACACCGGUGGCGAAGGCGGGUCUCUGGGCCGAUACUGACGCUGAGGAGCGAAAGCGUGGGGAGCGAACAGGAUUAGAUACCCUGGUAGUCCACGCCGUAAACGUUGGGCGCUAGGUGUGGGUUCCCUUCCACGGGAUCCGUGCCGCAGCUAACGCAUUAAGCGCCCCGCCUGGGGAGUACGG